CUCUUCCUUUUCUCCUGGCUAUGCCUCACCCAGCCUCCUUUGAUCUCCUCUUCCCCAUUCCACACAGGUUGGCCCCUUUCCUUUCCCCUUCGACCCAACCGGCGCAUUGGUCUCUUGCAUCUCUGCAAACGAAAUACAAAAGCAAAGCAGAGGUGGGAGCAAGGCCAGGGCCACACCCAAGCCACGUCUGGGGGUCAAUUUCUCGACGAUCAUGGCUUGGAGGCAUGGGAAGCAACCGAUCAUCAUCCGAUUUGUCAAGCUCGCCCUCCAUUCACUACUCCCAAGCCGGGUAGGGCCAUUGCCGUUAAUGCCCUUCUUUUUUACUUUACUUUGAAUCCCUUAUUAAAUUCUGUUUUUGGGGGGCUCUCCGGGCUAGCGCUCAAGGCCAUUCAGCUUGCACAAGCUCUAGCCCACGUUGCCCUUGCAUUUUGUUAUGGUAUUCUCGAAUGUCAUGCCUUAAGGCCACUGGCGUAAGUUAAAGUCCCAGUUUGGGUCAGCAACCCUUCAUCCCAGUAGCGGACUCCAAUUGUUUGCAUAAAUGCUUGAGUGAGAUCUGUUUUUAUUCUACCAUUUUUGUUCGGAGUAGUCACUUGUGCUCAGCCACGCCUUAUCGAGCUGCCCUAUGGUGUUGGCACUCCCAAGCGCCCGCUGUUUGGUUGAUUCAACGUACGCUGUCACCCUUCCACCAUUUUCCGUCUUGGCCAGCUUUUGCUAGGGCUGACCGAGGACGAUAAGGCUAAGGCGUCUAACCUCUUCGAAUGAGUACAAGGUCAUGGUGAUGUGCAGCGGGAUCUACAGGAUAGCACUUCUGAACCUGGAGACAGUAAUUGGAGGUGCCUGCCAGAUCAUCCUAGGAUAAGAGUAUUCAGAGAUGUAAUAUUCUACAAAAGGGCUCUUUCAUAUUGUGGAUUCCUAUAGGGGCAUGGCAAAUAUUGUUGCAAUCGGAUGAUAACGAUCUGAAAAUAGAGACGAUCACCCUGACACUGGCACAGCGAGCACAACUAGACGAUCCAUACAGCGGACAAUCAUGUACUCAUUUGGUGGAAGCAUCAUGGGAAAAUAUGCUGUUGUUUCAACGACAAAAAUGAUCAAGGCAUCCAUUUUACAGGUUAUUUCCAUCUCUAAUGAUAAGAGAACCAGUUUUGCUAUUAUCAAUUAUAUGAUGCUUAUUUCUCUGUUU